AGGGCACCUCCAGGAGUGGAGCCUGCGGCUUAAUUUGACUCAACACGGGAAAACUUACCCGGCCCGGACACUGGAAGGAUUGACAGAUUGAGAGCUCUUUCUUGAUUCAGUGGGUGGUGGUGCAUGGCCGUUCUUAGUUGGUGGAGCGAUUUGUCUGGUUAAUUCCGAUAACGAACGAGACUCUAGCCUACUAAAUAGACUGUUCAGCUUUAUAGCCGGAAUCACUGGGCGUGUAGCUCUCCGCAAGGGGGGUUGCAUGUUCGGCUCUGGUGACGUUGGCAGUGCUUCUUAGAGGGACAGGCGGCGGUUCAGCCGCACGAAACAGAGCAAUAACAGGUCUGUGAUGCCCUUAGAUGUCCGGGGCUGCACGCGCGCUACACUGAAGUGAUCAGCGUGCAAUUUACGUUUGGUGAUCUGUCAAGAUUGCCCAACCCGUUGAACCUUCUUCGUGAUUGGGAUAGGGGAUUGUAAUUAUUCCCCUUGAACGAGGAAUUCCCAGUAAGCGCAAGUCAUAAGCUU
rnacentral:rRNA from 1 species